GAUGAAGAACGUAGCGAAAUGCGAUAAGUAAUGUGAAUUGCAGAAUUCAGUGAAUCAUCGAAUCUUUGAACGCACAUUGCGCCCCCUGGUAUUCCGGGGGGCAUGCCUGUUCGAGCGUCAUUUCACCACUCAAGCCUCGCUUGGUAUUGGGCAACGCGGUCCGCCGCGUGCCUCAAAUCGACCGGCUGGGUCUUCUGUCCCCUAAGCGUUGUGGAAACUAUUCGCUAAAGGGUGUUCGGGAGGCUACGCCGUAAAACAACCCCAUUUCUAAGGUUGACCUCGGAUCAGGUAGGGAUACCCGCUGAACUUAAGCAGAUCAAUAAGCGGAGGA
rnacentral:misc_RNA from 1 species